GACGAACGCUGGCGGCGUGCUUAACACAUGCAAGUCGAACGGUGAAGCUUCAAGCUUGCUUGGGGUGGAUCAGUGGCGAACGGGUGAGUAACACGUGAGCAACCUUCCCCAGACUCUGGCAUAAGCGCUGGAAACGGCGUCUAAUUCUGGAUAUGACAUCAAGCCGCAUGGUUAUGGUGUGGAAAGUUUUUCGGUCUGGGAUGGGCUGGCGGCCUAUCAGUUUGUUGGUGAGGUAAUGGCUCACCAAGGCGACGACGGGUAGCCGGCCUGAGAGGGCGACCGGCCACACUGGGACUGAGACACGGCCCAGACUCCUACGGGAGGCAGCAGUGGGGAAUAUUGCACAAUGGGCGCAAGCCUGAUGCAGCGACGCCGCGUGAGGGAUGACGGCCUUCGGGUUGUAAACCUCUUUCAGCAGGGAAGAAGCGAUAGUGACGGUACCUGCAGAAGAAGCACCGGCUAACUACGUGCCAGCCGCCGCGGUAA
rnacentral:rRNA from 1 species